GAUGAACGCUGGCGGCGUGCCUAAUACAUGCAAGUCGAGCGAACACAUGAGGACCUUUCUCCUCUGACGUUAGCGGCGGACGGGUGAGUAACACGUGGAUAACCUACCUAUAAGACUGGGAUAACUUCGGGAAACCGGAGCUAAUACCGGAUAAUAUAUUGAACCGCAUGGUUCAAUAGUGAAAUACGGUUUUGCUCUCACUUAUAGAUGGAUCCGCGCCGCAUUAGCUAGUUGGUAAGGUAACGGCUUACCAAGGCAACGAUGCGUAGCCGACCUGAGAGGGUGAUCGGCCACACGGGAACGGAGACACGGUCCAGACUCCUACAGGAGGCAGCAGUAGGGAAUCUUCAGCAAUGGGCGAAAGCCGGACGGAGCAACGCCGCGUGAGUGAUGAAGGUCUUCGGAUCGUAAAACUCUGUUAUCAGGGAAGAACAAAUGUGUAAGUAACUAUGCGCGUAUUGACGGUACGUAAGAAGAAAGCCACGGCUACCUACGU
rnacentral:rRNA from 1 species